GAUGAACGCUGGCGGCGUGCCUAAUACAUGCAAGUCGAGCGAACAGACGAGGAGCUUGCUCCUCUGACGUUAGCGGCGGACGGGUGAGUAACACGUGGAUAACCUACCUAUAAGACUGGGAUAACUACGGGAAACCGGAGCUAAUACCGGAUAAUAUAUUGAACCGCAUGGUUCAAUAGUGAAAGACGGUUUUGCUGUCACUUAUAGAUGGAUCCGCGCCGCAUUAGCUAGUUGGUAAGGUAACGGCCUACCAAGGCAACGAUGCGUAGCCGACCUGAGAGGAUGAUCGGCCACACUGGAACUGAGACACGGUCCAGACUCCUACGGGAGGCAGCAGUGGGGAAUCUUCCGCAAUGGGCGAAAGCCUGACGGAGCAACGCCGCGUGAGUGAUGAAGGUCUUCGGAUCGUAAAGCUCUGUUAUUGGGGAAGAACAGAUGUGUAAGUAACUAUGCACGUCUUGACGGUACCUAAUCAGAAAGCCACGGCUAACUACGUG
rnacentral:rRNA from 1 species